rnacentral:rRNA from 1 species
UUCAGGGCGCACGGCGGAUGCCUUGGCGCAGGGAGCCGACGAAGGGCGCGGCAAGCCGCGAUAGUCCCGGGGGAGCCGCACACGGGCUUCGAUCCCGGGGUGCCCGAAUGGGGGAACCCAGCAGGCGAGGGCCUGCUACCCGCGCAAGCGGGAGGCAACCGGGGGAACUGAAACAUCUAAGUACCCCGAGGAGAGGAAAUCAAACAGAGACCCCCCCAGUAGCGGCGAGCGAACGGGGGCCAGCCCAAACCGGGGCGCGCGUAAAGCGUGCGGGCGCUGCCGCCCCGGGGUUGAGGAUGCGGCGUCCGGGCCCCGCACGGCCCGGCCGCAGUCACAAAGCACGUGCCGGGCGGAAGACGCAUGGGAAGGCGCGCGGAACAGGGUUAGAGCCCCGUACGCGAAGGCACGUGCCUGCGGGCCGCAGUCCGGAGUACCGCCGGGCACGAGGAACCCGGCGGGAAGCAGGGGGGACCGCCCCCCAAGGCUAAGCACUACCCUGCGACCGACAGUGCACGAGUACCGUGAGGGAAAGGUGAAAAGCACCCCGGGAGGGGAGUGAAACAGCGCCUGAAACCGUGCGCCCGCAAGCAGCCGGAGCACACCCGUUGUGUGACGGCGUGCCUAUUGAAGAAUGAGCCAGCGAGUCGCGGCCGGCGGCGAGGCCUAGCUGAAGGCGAGCCGCAGCGAAAGCGAGUCCGAACAGGGCGACUUCGAGUCGCCGGCCGCGGACGCGAAGCCGGGUGAUCUACCCCGGGGCAGGGGGAAGCGGGGGUGAGACCCCGUGGACGCCCGAACCCACCGGCGUUGAAAAGCCGGGGGACGACCCCGGGGUAGGGGUGAAAGGCCAAUCAAACCCGGAGAUAUCUCGUUCUCCCCGAAAUAGCUUUAGGGCUAGCCCGCGGGGCUGCCCGCCGGCGGUAGAGCCACCGGAUCCCCUAGGGGGCCUCGCGGCCUGCCGAAGGGAACCGAACUCCGAACGCAGGCGGGUGAACCCGCGGAGUCAGGACGCGCGGGCUAAGCCGCGCGCCCGAGAGGGAAACAGCCCAGACCGCCCGCCAAGGCCCCAAAUUCACGGCCGAGUGGCAAAGGAUGUGCCCCCGCGCAGACAGCCAGGACGUUGGCCCAGAAGCAGCCACCCGUCCAAGGAGUGCGUAACAGCUCACUGGCCGAGUGGGGGUGCGCCGACAAUUCACGGGGCUAAGCCGUGAGCCGAAGCGGCGGGACAGAGGACAUGUGGUCCCUGUCGGUAGGGGAGCUUUCCGGGUGCGGCGAAGCGGGGCCGGCGAGGUCCCGUGGAGCGCCCGGAAGUGAGGAUGCUGGCACGAGUAGCGAGAGAAGUGAGAGUAACACUUCCGCCGAGAGCCCGAGGUUUCCUGGGGAAGGCUAAUCCUCCCAGGGUCAGUCGGGGCCUAAGGCUAAGGCGCGAGCCGACGCCGAAGGACGGCAGGUGGACAUUCCUGCACCGCGCGCGCCCAGCGACGCGGCGACGGCGGCGACGAGGCGGGGCGGGGUUCUGGACGCCCCCGUCCCCGAAGGGCCGGCGCGCACGAGGGAAGUCCCGUGCGCACACACCGGUCCCAGGGGCGAAGCGACUAAGUGAAGCCCGCCGAGGAGCCGUCCCAGAAAAGCCGCUAAGCGUUAUCAAGGCGCGCGCGCCCGUACCGCAGACCGACGCAGGUGGGCCGGUAGAGCAUACCGAGGCGAUCGGGCGAACCGUGGUCAAGGAACUCGGCAAAACUGCCCCGUAACCUCGGGAGAAGGGGCGCUCCUUGAAAAGGGAGCCGCAGCGAAGAGGCCCAGGCGACUGUUUACCAAAAACACAGGACGGUGCUGAAGGCGAGAGCCGACGUAUACCGUCUGACGCCUGCCCGGUGCCGGAAGGUCACGCGGAGCCGUCAGCGCAAGCGAAGCGGCGAUGCCAAGCCCCGGUAAACGGCGGCCGUAACUAUAACGGUCCUAAGGUAGCGAAAUUCCUUGUCGGGUAAGUUCCGACCUGCACGAAAGGCGCAACGACCUGGGCGCUGUCUCGACCACGGGCCCGGCGAAACUGCACUGCCGGUGAAGAUGCCGGCUACCCGCGGAAGGACGGAAAGACCCCGUGAACCUUCACUGCAGCUUGGCGGUGGGUGCCGGGGCGUCGCGUAGAGGAUAGGCGGGAGGCUUUGAGGCGGAGGCGCCAGCUUCCGCGGAGCCGACCUUGGAAUACCGCCCCCGACGCCCUGGCCCCCUAACCCCCAUUCGGGGGGACCCCGCCAGGUGGGUAGUUUGACUGGGGCGGUCGCCUCCCAAAGAGUAACGGAGGCGCGCGCAAGGUACGCUCGGGCCGGUCGGCAACCGGCCUUCAGAGUGCAAGAGCAUAAGCGUGCCAGACUGCGAGAGGGACACCUCGGGCAGGCGCGAAAGCGGGUUCUAGUGAUCCGGCGGCCCGGCGCGGAACGGCCGUCGCUCAACGGACAAAAGGUACUCCGGGGAUAACAGGCUGAUCUUGCCCAAGAGUCCACAUCGACGGCAAGGUUUGGCACCUCGAUGUCGGCUCAUCGCAUCCUGGGGCUGGAGCAGGUCCCAAGGGUACGGCUGUUCGCCGUUUAAAGCGGUACGCGAGCUGGGUUCAGAACGUCGUGAGACAGUUCGGUCCCUAUCCUCCGCGGGCGCAGGAGGGCUGAGGGGGGCCGUCCCCAGUACGAGAGGACCGGGACGGACGGACCUCCGGUGUGCCAGCUGUCGACCUAACGGCACCGCUGGGCAGCCGCGUCCGGCGCGGAUAACCGCUGAAGGCAUCUAAGCGGGAAGCCGUCCCCGAGAUGGGCCCUCCCUUCGGUAAGGCCCCAGGGAGACCACCUGGUUGAUAGGGCGCAGGUGCAAGGCGCGCGAGCGCCUCAGCCGGGCGCCACUAAUCGGCCGAGCCCUUCGGGA